AGUGAACGCUGGCGGUAUGCCUAACACAUGCAAGUCGAACGGCAGCACAGUAAGAGCUUGCUCUUACGGGUGGCGAGUGACGGACGGGUGAGGAAUACAUCGGCAUCUACUUUUUCUUGGGGGAUAACGUAGGGAAACUUAUGCUAAUACCGCAUACUUCCUACGGGUGAAAUCAGGGGAUCUUCGAACCUUUCCCGAUUCAAUUGGCCGAUGUCGGAUUAGCUAGUUGGCGGGGUAAAGGCCCACCAAGGCGACGAUCCGUAGCUGGUCUGAGAGGAUGAUCAGCCACACUGGAACUGAGACACGGUCCAGACUCCUACGGGAGGCAGCAGUGGGGAAUAUUGGACAAUGGGCGCAAGCCUGAUGCAGCCAUACCGCGUGGGUGAAGAAGGCCUUCGGGUUGUAAAGCCCUUUUGUUGGGAAAGAAAAGAAGCAGGUUAAUACCCCGCUGUUCUGACGGUACCCAAAGAAUAAGCACCGGCUAACUUCGUG
rnacentral:rRNA from 1 species